CCGAACCGACUAAUGUUGAAAAAUUAGCGGAUGACUUGUGGCUGGGGGUGAAAGGCCAAUCAAACCGGGAGAUAGCUGGUUCUCCCCGAAAGCUAUUUAGGUAGCGCCUCGUGAAUUCAUCUCCGGGGGUAGAGCACUGUUUCGGCAAGGGGGUCAUCCCGACUUACCAACCCGAUGCAAACUGCGAAUACCGGAGAAUGUUAUCACGGGAGACACACGGCGGGGGCUAACGUCCGUCGUGAAGAGGGAAACAACCCAGACCGCCAGCUAAGGUCCCAAAGUCAUGGUUAAGUGGGAAACGAUGUGGGAAGGCCCAGACAGCCAGGAUGUUGGCUUAGAAGCAGCCAUCAUUUAAAGAAAGCGUAAUAGCUCACUGGUCGAGUCGGCCUGCGCGGAAGAUGUAACGGGGCUAAACCAUGCACCGAAGCUGCGGCAGCGACGCUUAUGCGUUGUUGGGUAGGGGAGCGUUCUGUAAGCCUGUGAAGGUGUGCUGUGAGGUAUGCUGGAGGUAUCAGAAGUGCGAAUGCUGACAUAAGUAACGAUAAAGCGGGUAAAAACCCCGCUCGCCGGAAGACCAAGGGUUCCUGUCCAACGUUAAUCGGGGCAGGGUGAGUCGACCCCUAAGGCGAGGCCGAAAGGCGUAGUCGAUGGGAAACAGGUUAAUAUUCCUGUACUUGGUGUUACUGCGAAGGGGGGACGGAGAAGGCUAUGUUGGCCGGGCGACGGUUGUCCCGGUUUAAGCGUGUAGGCUGGUUUUCCAGGCAAAUCCGGAAAAUCAAGG
rnacentral:rRNA from 1 species